GACGAACGCUGGCGGCGUGCUUAACACAUGCAAGUCGAACGAAGAGCGACGGAAGCUUGCUUCUAUCAAUCUUAGUGGCGAACGGGUGAGUAACGCGUAAUCAACCUGCCCUUCAGAGGGGGACAACAGUUGGAAACGACUGCUAAUACCGCAUACGAUCUAAUCUCGGCAUCGAGGAUAGAUGAAAGGUGGCCUCUACAUGUAAGCUAUCACUGAAGGAGGGGAUUGCGUCUGAUUAGCUAGUUGGAGGGGUAACGGCCCACCAAGGCGAUGAUCAGUAGCCGGUCUGAGAGGAUGAACGGCCACAUUGGGACUGAGACACGGCCCAGACUCCUACGGGAGGCAGCAGUGGGGAAUCUUCCGCAAUGGACGAAAGUCUGACGGAGCAACGCCGCGUGAGUGAUGACGGCCUUCGGGUUGUAAAGCUCUGUUAAUCGGGACGAAAGGCCUUCUUGCGAACAGUUAGAA
rnacentral:rRNA from 1 species